rnacentral:rRNA from 1 species
AGCUUGCUUCCGCUGACGACCGGCGCACGGGUGCGUAACGCGUAUGCAACCUACCUUCUACAGGGGGAUAGUCAAUAGAAAUGUUGAAUAAUACCCCAUACGAUCUUAGAGUAUCAUUACUUUAAGAAGAAAGCUUCGGCGGUAGAAGAUGGGCAUGCGUCCUAUUAGUUAGUUGGUAAGGUAACGGCUUACCAAGACUACGAUAGGUAGGGGCCCUGAGAGGGGGAUCCCCCACACUGGUACUGAGACACGGACCAGACUCCUACGGGAGGCAGCAGUGAGGAAUAUUGGACAAUGGAGGUAACUCUGAUCCAGCCAUGCCGCGUGCAGGAAGACUGCCCUAUGGGUUGUAAACUGCUUUUAUACAGGAAGAAACCUACUUACGUGUAAGUAGCUGACGGUACUGUAAGAAUAAGGAUCGGCUAACUCCGUGCCAGCAGCCGCGGUAAUACGGAGGAUCCAAGCGUUAUCCGGAAUCAUUGGGUUUAAAGGGUCCGUAGGUGGUUUAUUAAGUCAGAGGUGAAAUCCCAUAGCUUAACUAUGGAACUGCCUUUGAUACUGAUAGACUUGAGUUAUU